UGGGGAAUUUUGGACAAUGGGCGCAAGCCUGAUCCAGCAAUGCCGCGUGCAGGAUGAAGGCCUUCGGGUUAUAAACUGCUUUUGUACGGAACGAAACGGCUCUUUCUAAUAAAGAGGGCUAAUGACGGUACCGUAAGAAUAAGCACCGGCUAACUACGUGCCAGCAGCCGCGGUAAUACGUAGGGUGCAAGCGUUAAUCGGAAUUACUGGGCGUAAAGCGUGCGCAGGCGGUUAUUCAAGACAGAUGUGAAAUCCCCGGGCUCAACCUGGGAACUGCAUUUGUGACUGCAUAGCUGGAGUACGGCAGAGGGGGAUGGAAGUCCGCGUGUAGCAGUGAAAUGCGUAGAUAUGCGGAGGAACACCGAUGGCGAAGGCAAUCCCCUGAGCCUGCACUGACACUCAUGCACGAAAGCGUGGGGAGCAAACA
rnacentral:rRNA from 1 species